GUCCCAACGCUACAAUUGCAGUUGCAGUGAACGAUCUCUCUCUCCCAACUUGGAGAUGACGGCGCACGAGGUAGGUGGAUUCAUCUCCCACAUCUCGCCGGUGAUGGAUAGCUACGGAAUGGGGAUCCAAGGGUGAAGGUUCGAUUGUGGGAUCCGCGGAAUUGAAGAGACAGGGGAGGCUUGUGGCGCUCAAAGGUGAUGGCGGUAGUCAGAGGCGGCGGGUCGACGGCGAGGGCUCUUGAUGAGCCACAGAGAUAUGGCAGAGGGCUUAGGAAGUCGUUGCACGAUCAGAACCUACGGACUCGUGGAAGUAAGAAAAAUCAUGUCAAGUUAGAAUCAGAGAUGUCAGUUCUUCAUAUCAAGUGGAGGUUUAGGAUUAUUUUUAUGCUUUAAGCGUAGAACUGUAAUAGGUUAUCAAGAAUCCAAUUAUUUGAUUUUCAAUGUGUCAGAGUAAGGCUCUUAGAACUAUACAAUAGCGUGUGAUUUACUGUACAGGUGUUGUAUCUCAAAGCAGGAUUCUCGGGUUGUACUGUAACAUAUGAUCUACUAUACAUAUGGUUAUAUUAUUUCGAGCAUAAGCUCAUGGCGCUCGAACUGUGAUUCACAGUUCAUGAUUAGGAUAGGAUUCAGGAUUAGCUAUAAUAGCUCCC
rnacentral:lncRNA from 1 species